GAGCAAGAACCCAUUCACCAUCUUCGUUCUUGAUCAGUCCUUUGUUCUUCUCUACCCACCAAGAUCCUG
rnacentral:sRNA from 1 species